rnacentral:rRNA from 1 species
UACGUAGGGGGCAAGCGUUGUCCGGAAUCAUUGGGCGUAAAGAGCGUGUAGGCGGCUUGGUAAGUCCGCUGUGAAAGUCCAGGGCUCAACCCUGGAAUGCCGGUGGAAACUGUCAAGCUUGAGUCCGGAAGAGGCGAGUGGAAUCCUGGUGUAGCGGUGAAAUGCGCAGAUAUCAGGAGGAACACCAAUGGCGAAGGCAGCUCAGCUGGGACGGUACUGACGCUGAGACGCGAAAGCGUGGGGAGCAAACAGG